GGGGUUGUGGCUCAGCAGUAGAGCACUUGCCUAGCACAUACGAGGCCCUGGGUUCGAAUCUCAGCACCA
rnacentral:tRNA from 1 species